rnacentral:rRNA from 1 species
CGAACGGGUGAGUAAUACAUCGGAACGUGCCCAUUAGUGGGGGAUAACCCGGCGAAAGCCGGACUAAUACCGCAUACGACCUACGGGUGAAAGCAGGGGAUCGCAAGACCUUGCGCUAUUGGAGCGGCCGAUGUCAGAUUAGCUAGUUGGUGGGGUAAAAGCCUACCAAGGCGACGAUCUGUAGCUGGUCUGAGAGGACGACCAGCCACACUGGGACUGAGACACGGCCCAG